CAAUAGCGUAUAUUAAAGUUGUUGCGGUUAAAAAGCUCGUAGUUGGAUUUCUGCCGAGGACGACCGGUCUGCCCACUGGGUGUGUAUCUGGCUCGGCCUGGGCAUCUUCUUGGAGAACGUAUCUGCACUUGACUGUGUGGUGCGGUAUCCAGGACUUUUACUUUGAGGAAAUUAGAGUGUUUCAAGCAGGCACACGCCUUGAAUACAUUAGCAUGGAAUAAUAAGAUAGGACCUCGGUUCUAUUUUGUUGGUUUCUAGAACUGUGGUAAUGAUUAAUAGGGAUAGUUGGGGGCAUUCGUAUUUAACUGUCGGAGGUGAAAUUCUUGGAUUUGUUAAAGACGGACUACUGCGAAAGCAUUUGCCAAGGAUGUUUUCAUUGA
rnacentral:rRNA from 1 species